UACAGAGGGUGCAAGCGUUGUUCGGAAUUAUUGGGCGUAAAGCGCGUGUAGGCGGCUUUGCAAGUCGGGUGUGAAAGCCCUCAGCUCAACUGAGGAAGUGCGCCCCGAAACUGCAGAGCUUGAGUGCCGGAGAGGGUGGCGGAAUUCCCCCAAGUAGAGGUGAAAUUCGUAGAUAUGGGGAGGAACACCGGUGGCGAAGGCGGCCACCUGGACGGUAACUGACGUUGAGACGCGAAAGCGUGGGGAGCAAACAGG
rnacentral:rRNA from 1 species